AUUGAACGCUGGCGGCGUGCUUAACACAUGCAAGUCGAGCGAGUGAGUUCUUCGGAACGAUCUAGCGGCGGACGGGUGAGUAACACGUGGGCAACCUGCCUCAUAGAGGGGAAUAGCUUCCCGAAAGGGAGAUUAAUACCGCAUAAAAUUAUCGAGUGGCAUCACAUGAUAAUCAAAGGAGUAAUCCGCUAUGAGAUGGGCCCGCGGCGCAUUAGCUAGUUGGUGAGGUAACGGCUCACCAAGGCGACGAUGCGUAGCCGACCUGAGAGGGUGAUCGGCCACAUUGGGACUGAGACACGGCCCAGACUCCUACGGGAGGCAGCAGUGGGGAAUAUUGCACAAUGGGGGAAACCCUGAUGCAGCAACGCCGCGUGAGUGAUGAAGGUCUUCGGAUUGUAAAGCUCUGUCUUUGGGGGCGAUAAUGACGGUACCCAAGGAGGAAGCCACGGCUAACUACGUGCCAGCAGCCGCAGUAA
rnacentral:rRNA from 1 species